rnacentral:rRNA from 1 species
UACGUAGGGGGCGAGCGUUGUCCGGAUUUAUUGGGCGUAAAGAGCGUGUAGGCGGCCAGGUAGGUCCGUUGUGAAAACUCGAGGCUCAACCUCGAGACGUCGAUGGAAACCAUCUGGCUAGAGUCCGGAAGAGGAGAGUGGAAUUCCUGGUGUAGCGGUGAAAUGACGCAGAUAUCAGGAGGAACACCGGUGGCGAAGGCGGGUCUCUGGGCCGAUACUGACGCUGAGGAGCGAAAGCGUGGGGAGCGAACAGG